rnacentral:rRNA from 1 species
GAGUUUGAUCUUGGCUCAGGAUGAACGCUGGCGGCGUGCCUAAUACAUGCAAGUAGAACGCUGAAGCUUGGUGCUUGCACCGAGCGGAUGAGUUGCGAACGGGUGAGUAACGCGUAGGUAACCUGCCUGGUAGCGGGGGAUAACUAUUGGAAACGAUAGCUAAUACCGCAUAACAGUAGAUAUUGCAUGAUAUCUGCUUGAAAGGUGCAAUUGCAUCACUACCAGAUGGACCUGCGUUGUAUUAGCUAGUUGGUGAGGUAACGGCUCACCAAGGCGACGAUACAUAGCCGACCUGAGAGGGUGAUCGGCCACACUGGGACUGAGACACGGCCCAGACUCCUACGGGAGGCAGCAGUAGGGAAUCUUCGGCAAUGGGGGAACCCUGACCGAGCAACGCCGCGUGAGUGAAGAAGGUUUUCGGAUCGUAAAGCUCUGUUGUAAGAGAAGAACGAGUGUGAGAGUGGAAAGUUCACGACUGUGACGGUA